rnacentral:rRNA from 1 species
AACGAACGCUGGCGGCAUGCCUAACACAUGCAAGUCGAACGAGACCUUCGGGUCUAGUGGCGCACGGGUGCGUAACGCGUGGGAACCUGCCCUUAGGUUCGGAAUAACUCCCCGAAAGGGGUGCUAAUACCGGAUAAUGUCUUCGGACCAAAGAUUUAUCGCCUUUGGAUGGGCCCGCGUUGGAUUAGCUAGUUGGUAGGGUAAAAGCCUACCAAGGCGACGAUCCAUAGCUGGUCUGAGAGGAUGAUCAGCCACACUGGGACUGAGACACGGCCCAGACUCGUACGGGAGGCAGCAGUGGGGAAUAUUGGGCAAUGGGCGAAAGCCUGAUCCAGCAAUGCCGCGUGAGUGAUGAAGGCCUUAGGGUUGUAAAGCUCUUUUACCCGGGAUGAUAAUGACAGUACCGGGAGAAUAAGCUCCGGCUAACUCCGUG